rnacentral:piRNA from 1 species
ACGACUGAAACUUAGGUUGUUGGGACACAGC